UCCCUGCUGGUCCAGUGGUUAAGACUCUGCACUCCCUAUGCAGAGGCCACGGGUUCAAUCCCUGGUCAGGGAA
rnacentral:tRNA from 1 species